rnacentral:rRNA from 1 species
GAGUUUGAUCCUGGCUCAGAACGAACGCUGGCGGCAUGCCUAACACAUGCAAGUCGAACGCCCCGCAAGGGGAGUGGCGGACGGGUGAGUAACGCGUGGGAACCUGCCCAAUGGUCUGGAAUAACCGCGGGAAACUGCGGCUAAUACCGGAUAAGCCCGAGAGGGGAAAGAUUUAUCGCCGAUGGAGGGGCCCGCGUCCGAUUAGGUAGUUGGUGGGGUAACGGCCUACCAAGCCUACGAUCGGUAGCUGGUCUGAGAGGAUGAUCAGCCACACUGGGACUGAGAUACGGCCCAGACUCCUACGGGAGGCAGCAGUGGGGAAUAUUGGACAAUGGGGGCAACCCUGAUCCAGCAAUGCCGCGUGAGUGAUGAAGGCCUUAGGGUUGUAAAGCUCUUUUGCCAGGGACGAUGAUGACGGUACCUGGAGAAUAAGCCCCGGCUAACUUCGUGCCAGCCGCCGCGGUAAG